rnacentral:lncRNA from 1 species
AUGACAGAUGAUAUGUUGAUUCAUUUGGAUUGUAAUUUUUUUUUUUUUUUUUUUUGCAGGAAGAACACAGUUCCCCUCUGUGGCUUUAUUGUUUACAAAACACACAACAGGCCUGCCCUGGGGCCUCCAGAGCCAGGCUGCGUGGUGGUCACAGGACCUGCAGGGGACGCUGGGUCCUGGGGCCACGGCGCUUCCGCUCCCGCGCUGGCGGCUGCCCUGGGGUCUCGGUGGAAGAGGCGUGCAUGGAGCGGCCCAGCAGCAGCCAGGCCACGGCGUGGAGAUGGCGCGGAGACGGCCUUCCCAGCUCAGGCAGCGCCUGACCUCUGCCCCAGACCCCGCGGGGGGACGGCAAGCCGCAGUCUGGGCCAAGAGUGUCCAGAGGAGGGGCCCGGGCCCCACAGCAGCCAGGGUCGAGCCCGCGGAGUCCGGAAUGAAAGCCUCAGGCGUCCGUCCGAGUGGAGCGAGGCGCACGUGCCAGCGCUGCGAAGGACGCCCUUUCACCUUCGUGUCCGACGGCCCGGGCUUGGAACGGCCACACGGAAACGUGAGCGCUCACGUGGCUCCCGUGGCUGGGCUGUGCCCCCUCGGAGGGGCCGGCAGCCACGGGGCUCUCCUGGCUGGGGCCCUGUGAGGCUUGGGAGGGGCCCGGGCCGGCUCCCGCAGCCGUGUGGGCAUGCCCUCCACGCAGAGCCAGGCCCUCCCACACCUGGCCCACCUCCCACUCUUUGCUCUUCCUGGUCGGGCACCACACGCACACUGCGCGGGGGCUCCUGCGGGAAAAGAGAGGUCAGCCAGAGCCCCAGAAUCCCGAUGCCUGCCAUGACCGAUGUCCACCAGCAGGGGCAGCGCAGAGCCGCCCUCAGGCCCCGUCCCCAGCUCGGGGCUGCUUCUCUGGGUUUGGCGACGCUCACGCAGGCCCAACCUCGGAGCCCUGGGAGGGGAACAAACCCAACGCAGCCGGCGAGCCCUCAGGCGUUUACCAGAUCCGAGUCGGACGCAGCCGGUGCCGGCCCGGCCCUGCCUGCCCCGGGCCUUUCCCUUAGAUGA